rnacentral:rRNA from 1 species
UUUUAUGGAGAGUUUGAUCCUGGCUCAGGAUGAACGCUGGCGGCGUGCCUAAUACAUGCAAGUCGAGCGAACGGACGAGAAGCUUGCUUCUCUGAUGUUAGCGGCGGACGGGUGAGUAACACGUGGAUAACCUACCUAUAAGACUGGGAUAACUUCGGGAAACCGGAGCUAAUACCGGAUAAUAUUUUGAACCGCAUGGUUCAAAAGUGAAAGACGGUCUUGCUGUCACUUAUAGAU